UACGUAGGGGGCUAGCGUUGUUCGGAAUUACUGGGCGUAAAGGGCGCGUAGGCGGUCCCUCAAGUCAGGCGUGAAAGCCCCGGGCUCAACCUGGGAACCGCGCUUGAGACUGAUGGGCUAGAGUUCGGGAGAGGAUGGUGGAAUUCCCAGUGUAGAGGUGAAAUUCGUAGAUAUUGGGAAGAACACCGAUGGCGAAGGCAGCCAUCUGGACCGACACUGACGCUGAGGCGCGAAAGCGUGGGGAGCAAACAGG
rnacentral:rRNA from 1 species